rfam:Picea glauca, whole genome shotgun sequence.
UUCACGGUUUUUCUCAAAACCACAAAUUUAAGAGCUGUAACAAAAU